rnacentral:lncRNA from 1 species
CAGUGAUUUUCACAUAGAAGGUGAUAAAAUUCCUUUCGUACCUGUCUCAUUGUUGUCUAAGCGUCAAGUUCAAGAAGCUCAUAAAACAUGGUGGUAGCCUUAGAAUCUUUUAUAUGAAAUAUCUUCUGUUGCAGUUGAACAAAAGAAUUUGACUUAAAUCAUAGACUUUCUUUUUCUCUCUCUUGGCUUUAACUGCUGAGAACUAAACAUAACAACUUGCAUGGUGACCCACAGAGAAUUUGACAGAUUGGAAAAUAAUUUCAGAAUCCUUAUAUCCUAGCUCAGUUCUUUAGCACUUCUUUUCCCUGAAUGUUAGAGCUGUGCUUUAUCUCUGAGUUUUUCUACUCUGUAGCAUUUUACU